rnacentral:rRNA from 1 species
UACAGAGGUGGCAAGCGUUGUUCGGAAUCACUGGGCGUAAAGGGCGCGUAGGCGGCUUUAUAAGUCGGGGGUGAAAGCCUGUGGCUCAACCACAGAAUUGCCUUCGAUACUGUAGAGCUUGAGACCGGAAGAGGUAAGUGGAACUGCGAGUGUAGAGGUGAAAUUCGUAGAUAUUCGCAAGAACACCAGUGGCGAAGGCGGCUUACUGGUCCGGUUCUGACGCUGAGGCGCGAAAGCGUGGGGAGCAAACAGG